AGGGCACCACCAGGAGUGGAGCCUGCGGCUUAAUUUGACUCAACACGGGAAAACUCACCCGGCCCGGACACUGAAAGGAUUGACAGAUUGAGAGCUCUUUCUUGAUUCAGUGGGUGGUGGUGCAUGGCCGUUCUUAGUUGGUGGAGCGAUUUGUCUGGUUAAUUCCGAUAACGAACGAGACUCUAGCCUACUAAAUAGAUCGCCGGUUUACAAACACCGGUGAGACUUCUUAGAGGGACAGGCGGCGAUUCAGCCGCACGAAACAGAGCAAUAACAGGUCUGUGAUGCCCUUAGAUGUCCGGGGCCGCACGCGCGCUACACUGAAGUGAUCAGCGUGCAUUUUAAGCCUACUCUGCCAAGAGUGGGAAACCCAAUGAACCUUCUUCGUGAUUGGGAUAGGGGAUUGUAAUUAUUCCCCUUGAACGAGGAAUUCCCAGUAAGCGCGAGUCAUAAGCUCGCGUUGAUUACUUCCCUGCCCUUUGUACACACCGCCCGUCGCUACUACCGAUUGAAUGUUUU
rnacentral:rRNA from 1 species